AAAGAUUAAGCCAUGCAGGUCUAAGUAUAAGCAAAUUGUACAGUGAAACUGCGAAUGGCUCAUUAAAUCAGUUAUCGUUUAUUUGAUAGUACCUUACUACAUGGAUACCUGUGGUAAUUCUAGAGCUAAUACAUGCUGAAAACCCCGACUUCGGAAGGGGUGUAUUUAUUAGAUAAAAAACCAACGCCCUUCGGGGCUCCUUGGUGAAUCAUAAUAACUUAACGAAUCGCAUGGCCUUGCGCCGGCGAUGGUUCAUUCAAAUUUCUGCCCUAUCAACUUUCGAUGGUAGGAUAGUGGCCUACCAUGGUGG
rnacentral:rRNA from 2 species